rnacentral:rRNA from 1 species
UACAGAGGUCCCAAGCGUUGUCCGGAAUCAUUGGGCGUAAAGCGCGCGUAGGCGGCCCGAUAAGUCCGCUGUAAAAGUCAACGGCUCAACUGUUGAAAGCCGGUGGAUACUGUCGGGCUAGAGUACGGAAGAGGCAAGUGGAAUUCCUGGUGUAGCGGUGGAAUGCGCAGAUAUCAGGAGGAACACCCAUAGCGAAGGCAGCUUGCUGGGACGUUACUGACGCUAAGGCGCGAAAGCGUGGGGAGCGAACAGG